rnacentral:rRNA from 1 species
UACGGAGGGUGCAAGCGUUAUCCGGAUUCACUGGGUUUAAAGGGUGCGUAGGUGGGCAGGUAAGUCAGUGGUGAAAUCCCCGAGCUUAACUUGGGAACUGCCAUUGAUACUAUUUGUCUUGAAUACUGUGGAGGUCAGCGGAAUAUGUCAUGUAGCGGUGAAAUGCUUAGAUAUGACAUAGAACACCAAUUGCGAAGGCAGCUGGCUACGCAUAUAUUGACACUGAGGCACGAAAGCGUGGGGAUCAAACAGG